rnacentral:rRNA from 1 species
GGGAUUGCCCUAGUAACGGCGAGUGAAGCGGCAACAGCUCAAAUUUGAAAUCUGGCCCUAGGCCCGAGUUGUAAUUUGCAGAGGAUGCUUUUGGUGACGCGCCUACCGAGUCCCCUGGAACGGGGCGCCACAGAGGGUGAGAGCCCCGUAUGGUUUGACGCCGAGCCUCUGUAAAGCUCCUUCGACGAGUCGAGUAGUUUGGGAAUGCUGCUCUAAAUGGGAGGUAAAUUUCUUCUAAAGCUAAAUAUUGGCCCGAGACCGAUAGCGCACAAGUAGAGUGAUCGAAAGAUGAAAAGCACUUUGAAAAGAGGGUUAAAUAGCACGUGAAAUUGUUGAAAGGGAAGCGCUCGUGACCAGACUUGCGCCGGGCGGAUCAUCCAGCGUUCUCGCUGGUGCACUCCGCCCGGCUCAGGCCAGCAUCGGUUUUCGCCGGGGGACAAAAGCUUCGGGAACGUAGCUCCUCUCGGGGAGUGUUAUAGCCCGUCGCGUAAUACCCCGGCGGGGACCGAGGACCGCGCUUCGGCAAGGAUGCUGGCGUAAUGGUCAUCAGCGACCCGUCUUGAAACACGGACCGAGGAGUCAAGCAUUAGUGCGAGUGUUUGGGUGUAAAACCCGCACGCGUAAUGAAAGUGAACGUAGGUGAGAGCUUCGGCGCAUCAUCGACCGAUCCUGAUGUUUUCGGAUGGAUUUGAGUAGGAGCAUUAACGCUUGGACCCGAAAGAUGGUGAACUAUACUUGAAUAGGGUGAAGCCAGAGGAAACUCUGGUGGAGGCUCGCAGCGGUUCUGACGUGCAAAUCGAUCGUCAAAUUUG